rnacentral:misc_RNA from 1 species
AAAAAAAAAAAAAAAAAAUCCCUCUUUUUUUCUGUUACUGAAGCACGUCAGUACUAUAAUGAUUUGAUUCAUCCUUUGGAGAGAGUAGCAUUUUACGCUUUUUCUGUUUCAUAUGUAUUUUGGCUUUAAUCGACAUUCACAAAAUUGUUACAGUUCAUUUUAUGCACUUUUUCCAUUAAGUGUUUUGUCCAAGAAGUCAGAUCUUUGCCAUGUGAGAUAACAGGGUAGAGCAAGGGACAGCAGUGUCUUUCCAAGCAAG